rnacentral:tRNA from 1 species
AAGGGAGACCUAAUUCGGGUAGAAGACGAAAAAAUAGUAGUCGAAACCAAGAAUCAAUCCCAAAAGGUCGGAACGAGGUAUGUGGCUUUCAAACUAGGUUCUGGGUUCACAAAAGACCUGAAUCAGGAACAAAGGCUAUUAGCUCAGGUGGUUAGAGCGCACCCCUGAUAAGGGUGAGGUCCCUGGUUCGAGUCCAGGAUGGCCCACCUGCACAGGUGGCAAAAACAAGAGAAACGAGGAAUCAGCACCUUAUCUUACUUACAUAGUAAGAGAGAAUGCUGGCUCUGAGUAAAGAGUCCAGAGGAACCUUGAAAACUGCAUAGAGCUAGGUGAAAAAGCCAAAAAAGAAGACCGCAA